GGUCCUAUGUUCUAGUGGUCAGGAAGUCGGAUUUUGACGUUACCUCAAGUGUCAUAUUCCGAAAGCCCCGGUUCGAACCCGGGUAGGACCU
rnacentral:tRNA from 1 species